GUGGGCUUAGUUUAAUGGUAGAACAAUGCUCUCCAAAAGCAUUAGUGGUAGUUCAACUCUAUCAGCCUAUGCCA
rnacentral:tRNA from 1 species